CGGGGCGUGGCUCAGCCUGGUAGAGCGCUGCGUUCGGGACGCAGAGGUCGCUAGUUCAAAUCUAGUCGCCCCGA
rnacentral:tRNA from 3 species